CCCUUUCCGGUCCUCUCCCCGCAAGAACAGCGCCUCCAAAGCUCCACUACCAACGUCUGGGAGGACUUUUCUUCACUAGCUCCCGGGACACCCCGCGACCCCACAGUGGCCAGGAAGUUAGGUGUGACCCGGACAACUAUCAGUCAGAGAAGUGGCAGUUGUGAUACUCGGUUGCUUGCCCAAGACCGAUUUUGAAAAACUGAACCACGGCUGUGACUUCUACGGAUCCACAGCGCCCACUAGCGCCCACUUUUGCCUCUCCGUACUUCAGAACAAGCCUACCGGUUACAGGAUCAAAUCUUAAGGAUCCAGAUAUUCCCAAGUCGAAAACCACUUGCUUAAGAUGCCCGUUAUCAGAGAGAACAAAGCAAAUACAAAAGAGAACCAUAGAAGAAAUCCUAAAGCACGGCCACAGCAAGCAUGCUGCAGUGUCUCUGAGAAGAGCUUCGUUUCACAACUAAAUCCUUGGAUGCUUUGAAAACAGGACACAACUCUAUGCCAAAUGACAACAAAAUCUGAGGAAGUCGCUGGUUCCUAAAGCUAAGGAUGCUUCUCAGUCAAUAGACUUGGGAAUUUUAAAAGUACAAUGUAUUACAAAAUAUAAAUGAUUUCUUACAGAGUGGCAGCAAAGCUGAAAUUUCACAAAGAACAAUCUAUUAGCCAGCAAAAAUGUACGACACACCAGGCUUCUAAGCCAAUGCUAACCAGUUUGGUCCUCAGACUGUUCUGCAACUUGACCACACUAACAGCUCCAAAUCGUUCAUUUGCAGGGAAAGCGCGAUCACAUUCUUUAGGAACGGGUUGCAGUCAACUGGCUCUCGUUCAACCUUUUCCUUUAUGUAUUAAUGGAAAAACAGUAUGCUUCAAAUGCAGUAAUGGUACUAUAUUUGUUUACUGUCACCAGCAUAGGUAGUAGAAAAUGAAGCCUUUUUCCUAAUGUGAACUGAGAGGUCUAGAGGCCCACCCAACAACCUGUGUGAGGUAUUGUGGUGGGCAAAUCCAAGUAGGUAACUGGCCUUCCUCUAAACAAAGUCUCUGCUCUAGGAACUGAUUACGUACUUGGAUAGGAACAUGCAAAGUCAAAUGCCAUUGCUUGUAAGCUACAAAUGGAACCACUGAGGGCAAUACCUAGGUUAAAGGGAGAGCUCCAUGCUAUAAAAGGCCCAAGAGAACUUAGAGCCAACCAGUCCCAAGUUUAAGUCCUUAUCAGGCAAUUAAUCCCAAGUGAACAGUCAUUUACCCUAAGAGAACCAAGGACCACCCACAUGUAAAGAAACAUCUUUUAUUCUAAUCCUGCAGGUACUGAGAUAUUGAACAAGAUAUGAUUGUAUGAAAUGGCUGGGUCAUCAACAUGCACUGCUCUUUAAUUUACUGGUUUCAAAGUUUAAGUGUGAAAAAUACAAUCAUUUCCACAUCCUCCAAUCAGUCGUCUGAGGAUUGGAGAAGGAGCCAUGUUCUUUUCAAAUAGUGCUGGUCAAUCCAACAAUGUCUGGAGUGUCAAAGUGGCACCUCCACAUUAUUUUGCAGAGCACUCUAAUACAAAGCAAAACAAAACAAGCACUGGGAGUUGCUUUAACAGAUAGGGCUGAGGGGCUCUGACACUGGAAUCCUCUGGACUCUGGCCUGCUCUGGGGCUAUUUCAAAAACCACUUUCUCCAGUAAUUUCACUAUACGCCAUACAAGGAGAGUGACCCAACUGUGCCAAACAGAUGGCAACUGGCUACAAAUGUAUGUAUGGUGCCAUGCAUUCGCCAGUGCAAACCUACAUUAUGGUGACAGCAUCCUUCACCAGGACAACUCAAUUCUAAAACCAUCAACAUACACUUCACAGAUGGCAAGGUAAAAAAGGCUUACUGCUGGGGAACACCCAUCUGCAUACCUCACCUUUAAACCUAAUAGCAAGUAUUUACAAUACUUUUGGAGCAGGUGAUUUUAGCCCCAUCUUCGGCAUCUCUCAGGGCAAUAAUGCAAAGUAUAGUGAAAGCUCUAGGUGAAAAGCAACUGAACUGAAGACAACUGUAAUACCAGAAGCUUGAGUUACUAGCAGAAUGGGAUGUUCAAUAACAAACUGAGGAUCCUAAAUAAAGCAUGACUCAGACAU
rnacentral:lncRNA from 1 species